AUAUCACAACUAUCCAUUUGCCCGUUGAAAUAGUUAACCAGUACAUUCAAAACAAGAUUGGCCAAACAAUUAAGAAACUACAAGAAUCAAGGCAAAAUGGUACAUCACUGAAUUUCAAAUAUAACCUAAAUGGCGGAUACAUUAGGAGCCAUCCUAAAAUAAUCACCCCGCAUCGUGUCAUCUGACUUGAACUUGGAAACUUGCUUGUCGCUUUAGGAGAGAAAAAAAUAAUGUAGCUGGUAAGAGCCCUCCAGGAAAGAUAAAAAAAAUGAUUACUGCUGACCAUUAUCAAUAUGCUCUCUAAAUUAGACAAAAAACAACAUAGAAAGGCACAUGCUUGUGAGCAACAAUGUAGGCAUUCAAGCAGGGAUGGAUUUAUUUUUUUUGCUUCAUCCGGUAAAAAGCUUCUUUGUGGUCCAAUUUGAGAACGGAAACAAGAGUAUGUGGCGGCUCUGCCUGCUACUUUACAUAGUAUACACCAAAUAAUCAAAAUGGUAAAUUAGUUUCCAUGCAUACAGGAUAGUGCGAGUAAGAGUGAAAACUAAAGUGCACUUCUAAUGUUACCUGCUUAAUGCCCUACGUGGAGGAUACUUCACCUGGUUCCCAAAAAUGGAAAAUCAAAGUAAAGAGUAAGUAGGCCUUUUCCUGCUACUUGAUCAACGGAAUAUAAAUAAGAAUGUUGUCGCCUUGGUACGGUUUAGAGAGAAGCAUGUUUCGGUUUGGUUUCCUGCAGAUAAAACUCAUAAACUAUUCUGCAUUCCAUGAAUAGAAAGAUUAAUAUUGUAGUCCUGAAAUACAGUGUCGCAAUUGAGCAACACAACUGCGAUUAAACGGCUAAGUUCUCCACCUUUGCACCAUUGCCAGAAUUUAUACUCUAAUCACCAAACAAAAUGGAAAACAAGGUUAAGAGUGAUUAUGAUACAAAGAUGAGGAGCUCGUGUUCUUCUUGUUACAGAAACAUGUUGGGGAACAACAGCACGGGAAUGCAAGCCAUAACAAAGCCUUGAAUAUUCGUUUAGAAAUAUCUGUUUGAUGCAAAAACUGACCGAUCAUCACAACUGCCGAUUACUGCUACAAAUAUAAUGAACAUGCACGAAGAAAAUCAACAGCUCGGUUAUACAUUUAUCUUAUUAUGUCUGAUCAUGACUGAUCAUUUACUGCUAGGAACAUAACAUCACACAAAAGUUUCUAUUUUGCUAUCAACAUCACAGGAUCCUUACCUGAUACGCGUGGCGCCGACGUCCGCCGCUUCCCCCCAUUCCUCGCCUCCCGGAGCGCUGCCGCCGUCGUCCUCCGUCGUGUCCCAAUCGGAUCGGGAGCGCCGCCGCUCGAU
rnacentral:lncRNA from 1 species